ensembl:lncRNA
ACCAGACAGAGGAACCAGAUCACCUGUGAAGGAACCAGACAGAGGAACCAGAUCACCUGUGAAGGAACCAGACAGAGGAACCAGAUCAUCUAUGAAGGCAGAGUCUCAGGCUGUGAGGAAUGAACCAGCCUGCCACCAUGAAGGCUUUGUCUAGAAGAGUUGUGUUUGCCAUAUUAUCAAUCGUUCAUCUUUAAGGUCGACUUUGUCCACCCUUUCUGAUUUAGACCGUGUACUUUGAGUAGGGCUGCAUGGGAGAAGUUGCAAUGCAAAAAAAAUACAAAGAAAAUCUCGCUAUCCUCUACUGAUAGAAACCAAUAGUAAGCUAAUCCAUCGUUUCAUCCUGAUAGACCCACCAGGCAUAGCCUGUUUGUUUCCAGUGGUCCUGAAACAGAAAAGAGAAUCAGGGUUGUGUGGGUCUGCUUGUGUAUCUUGUUGUGUUUGUGCGGUUGUUCCGAUAGAAGGAGACAGUUUUAUACGGUGUUUGAAAAUAACAAAAAAAAUAGGAAGACGACGACCUCCGAGCUUUUACAACCCGCAUGACGAGUCGCCACAAGGACUCUUUAUAAGACAGACGUUGUGGGAGGAGCCUCUUCUCCUUCAUCAUCUUCCUACCCUUCUCACUGGACCCUCACUGUACUGUGACUCACUGCAUUGUGACUCACUGUGACUCACUGCACUGUGACUCACUGUGACUCAGUGCACUUUAACUCACUGCACUGUGACUCAUGGUGACUCACUGCAAUGUAACUCACUGCACUGUGACUCACUAUGACUCACUGCACUGUGACUCACUGUGACUCACUGCACUGUGACUCACUGCACUGUGACUCACUGUGACUCACUGCAUUGUGACUCACUGUGACUCACUGUGACUCACUGCACUGUGACUCACUGCACUGUGACUCACUGUGACUCGCUGCACUGUGACUCACUGUGACUCACUGUGACUCACUGUAACUCACUGUAACUCACUGCACUGUGACUCAUGGUGACUCACUGCACUGUGACUCACUGCACUGUGACUCAGUGCAGUGUGACUCACUAUGACUCACUGUGACUCAGUGCAGUCCCAACCCAGGGUAUACCCCCUACCCUCACCUUCCCCCCCCCACCCUAUGCCCCGCCCCAGUGUGCGGACAGAUCAGACAAGAGUACUGCCAGGCAUCCAGGUGUGCAAGCAUUGUGUCCCUCUGCCCCCUCCCACAACUCCUCCUCCUCCUCAACCUCCCAGCCUCACCCCUGCUGUGCUUCAGCCGCGGCAGAGUCCUGGUCACUGGUCAGAGUCCUGGUCCCUGGUCAGAUCCUGGUCCCUGGUCAGAGUCCUGGUCCUGGUCCUGGUCCUGUUCCUGGUCCCUUGUCCUGGUCAGAGUCCUGAUCCCUGGUCCUGGUCCCUGGUCCUGGUCCUGGUCCCUGGUCCCUGGACCCUGGUCCUGGUCCCUGGUCAGAGUUCUGGUUCUGGUCCUGGUCCUGGUCCCUGGUCCUGGUCCUGGUCCUGGUCCAGGCCCUGGUCCUGGUCCUGGUCCAGGCCCUGAGGAUGGGCUCUCUAACUGGCGUUCACUGGUGUUGUUUUAUUUAUUUAUUACCAUCUUUCUCUUUUGUACGUAACAUACCAUGCUGUAUAUUUUACCUUCCAAACCUACGUGAUUGUGAAAUGAAAAAAAAACAAGUAUGUAUGUAUGUGUAUGUGUGUUGUUUCAUAAGUAUUCUCUUCCCAAUGUUUUAUAAAUACAUGUACAGCAAUAAAACCCGCUGGUGUCAGUCGGUGUUCUGGUCUGAGCUGUGAACAGGACGGCCUCAUCAGUCUGAAGAAACUG